CUUUGUUUUAUUUUUUUAAAGAUUUAUUUAUUUAUUUAUUUGAAAGUCAGAGUUGCACAGAGAGGAGAGGCACACGCACACACAGAGAGAGAGAAAGAGAGAGAUAGAAAGAGAGAGAGGAAUAGAGGGAGGGAGGAAGGGAGGGAGGCAGAGGGAGGUCUUCUAUCUGUUGUUUCACUCCCCAAUUGGCUGCAAUGGCCAGAGCUGUGCCUAUCUGAAGCCAGGAGCAGGCAACUUCUUCUGGGUCUCCCACGUGGGUGCAGGGACUCAAGGACUUGGGCCAUCUUCUACUGCUAUCCCGGGCUGUAGCAGAGAGCUAGAUUGGAAGUGGAGCGCCAGGACUCGAACCAACGCCCAUAUGGGAUGCCGGCACUGCAGGCGGUGGCUUUACCCGCUAUGCCACAGCAGUGGCCCCCAGUUGACACUCUUAUUUAUGACAUCAGUGAUCACCUGAGGCUCCUGUCAUGAGCUGCCAAGGUUAUGAAAGCCUCUUGAAUCCACAAACUCCAUCAGUAUUUAGACAAGGCCAUAAGCAAAGGCGAAGUUCUCUCCUCCCUUCAGAGAAAGAGAAGCUCGCAGAGGCUCAGCGCAGGUCUCCACACUUCAGAAUGAGCUGCAGUCGUCACUGGAGGCUCAGAACGACACUGCUGGUGUUACUACGCUGCGACAACUAGAAAACCAGUCCUCCCCCUGUCCCGUGAGGAACGUGUCCACCACAGGAGUAUAAAGACCUUAAACUGGCCUUCAGCGAGUUCUCCCUCAGUGUUCCUGCUGCAGAACUGUCAGAAUCUGAAUUUUACAGGAUUUUGGAACAUCCUUAAAAGGCAUGACAAGAUCCUGGAAACAUCUCAUGGAGCAGAUUGCUGGCACCAGCAUGGACUACUUUUAGAAUUGGUCUAUUUUGUGGAAUAUCCAUUGUACUGAAUAUCACCCUUGUGCUUGCCGGUAAGUAGUUUAAAUUUUGCAUUAUUUUUAUAUAUUAAUGUGACUUUGUUAUCUUCUGUCCAUCCAUAAUGAAUCAAACAUGCAUCUGUGAAAACUGUCGAAAGGAGUUAGCUUUUGGUUUUUAUGAAUGAUGUGGGCCUUUUUGUUUAUUUUUUUUUCCUUCUUUGGAUAUGGUCAUACUUUAAAGCAUUGCUAGUGUGUGAUGUAUUCAUCAUUUUCCAACUUGUAUGUGCUGUUCCAGACUUUUUAGAAUUCAGUUACCAAGAACUUCAGCUUCCUUGGUCAUAGUUGAGGAUAAAUAAUUUGUGACAAAAUUCAUUCACUAAAAAUCAUUGACUUUGCUUAUUGGAGACCCUAACAUUCUUUUCAGAAUAUUUCGACAGUUACUUUGCAUAUAGUUUUAAGAAAGCUUGGUUAUGUAUUUUGUAGCCUGUGCAAGUUAGAAAUCAGAAAGAAGGAGGAAGGAUUGCUAGGAGCAUUAGUGUUUCCACCAUUGAGAAAUAAUGUAACAGCAAAAGGAAGGCAUAAUCUUACUUAACUCUGCAAAAUUUGACUCUCGGCAGCAUUUCACAUUGUUGAUCACUACGUCUUGAAACACUUUUAUCUGUGUUUUUUUUUUUUCUGGGAAAUCCAUGCUCUGCUGGUUUUCCCCUUAAAUUUCACCAGCAGUUCUUUCCCAGGAUCCUUUGCUAGCCAUACCUUUGAUUGUGACAUUGAGAUGUUGAGGAGUACCAGCAGCCUCAGUCAUUGACUUUUCUGUCUGCAUUCAUUUCCUCCCUAGGCAAUCUUAUUCAAGCCUAUUGCUAUAAAUACAAUCUGCAUGCUAAUGGCUCCCAAGUAAGUACCCUCUCUCCUCUGAAAGACAUUUGAUUGUCUACUUAGAUGACAGUAUAAUAGACAUCUCAGACUUGGAUAUACAAAAGAACCCUUGAUUUUUACCCCUAAAUAUGCUUUCUCUUCUAUAGGCCACCAUGUUUCAUCCCAUUUCUCAGUCCAAAAACUUCCAGCCUCUCUUUUCCUCGUACUCCAUCUCCAGUCCUUCAGCAAAUCCUGUCGCUCUGUCUUCAAAAUGUGCUCCAAAUCUGAUCACUUCUCAGCCCCUUUACCAAUACCAUCUCUGUGCAGCCAUUCCUUGUUCAGCAUGCCACAGGGGCCUUCUGAACCUCUCUCCCUGCAUUCCCUCUUGACUCCUUACGUUGUGGGAUAAGGGGCCUCCCAGUGGGGCUUGUUCCAGGCUCUUUCCUCCGCCUGUGAAAGAGUUCAAGGAAGAAGCUUAAAGGUGUACAGAAAAGCAGGAUUUAUUUAAAGGGCCAGUGCCCGCUCAGACCUGAGUGUGGUGAACCUCUUUUCAUGAGAAAGGAAGAACUGCUGCCUUCACCAAAAAUGGGCUUGUCCUUUUGUAGAGAAGGGGCAGAGCCCUAAUUCAGUGUUCACAUGGGGUGGAGUUGGAGGCAGAGCUUGAGUGACACUUGCUUCCAUGUUCCUUUUUGGGGGGUCUCAGACGUGUGAUGGUGUCUCCAUUUGGGGCUUGAGCACAUACAUGGUCAUCUCUAGGGAACACGUCUAGGUAUGUGAUGGAAAGGAAGGCUCAGGUGCAUAAUGGAGAGUGGGAGUUGAGGGCCUGAAAUCACAUUGCAUAGGCAUGGAAGGAGAUGGGGUUCAGAGCAGUCAGGCUGUGGCCCAGAUGCUGCUGACAAUCUCUCAGCUCCUCUUUGCGUCCUAGCUACCUCCCUGCCCACAUCACUGACAGCCACUAGUGAACUCCUUACCAUGGCUUACAAGACCCCUCAGGAUCUCACCUUCCAUCUCCGAGGGAAUUCUUACUUCAUAGCCCGUCAUCCUCCCCCACACUCUCCAACCACACUUGUGUGAUGGCUAUUCCUUGAAUACACCAAAUCCAUUCUCGUGUAGGACAUUGCCUUCCCCAAGAUGUGUGCAGGGCUUACUCUCUUACUUUAUUCAUAAAGGCCUCUAUCCAAAGGCUGCCCCUCCAGAAAGACUUUUCCUGAUCACCUUGCCCUAAAAUAGACUAUUCUGCUCCUUUUUGCCUUUUUAGCCUUCAUUAGGUUUCUUCAGAGUGCUUAUAAUCACAUAACAUUAUAUUGUGUACCUACAUUUCUUGUUAUCUAUUUUCCCACUGGAAUGCCAACAUUUUGAAUCCCAAGCUCUUGUCUCUCCUGUCCACCAUUAUACCUCCAGCACCUAGAAUCCCUCCUAGACUAUAGUAGGGGCUCACAAAAUACUCGAGAAGUUUGCAUUGUUGGAAGAGAAGGAAAAAGAUGAAAAGAAGAGAUAGACAGGAAAAGCACAAAUGACAAAAGACAGGAGAGUCUCAAAUCUUCUUGCAGAUAAUAACUUGUAAGCACAGAUAAUCUUUAUUUACCUCAAGAGUUUACAUAAUUAUGCUCAUAAUUAUAACUGUAAAUCAUUAAGGAAAGAUUAAUAUCUGCGUGGUGAGAUGUGAAAAGAAAUGCGAUUUAGAAACAGUUAUUACUUUAGAUAUUUUACUUGAAAGGCAAAGUGGGAAAGGAAGAGAAAUAUUCCAACUGCUGGGUCAGUCCCCAAAUGGCUUCAAAGGUAGCCCUGGCUGAACCCGGGAACCCAGAAUUCCAUAUGGGUCUCCCACAUGUGUGGCAGAGGCCCAGACACUUGGGUCAUCAUCCCUGCUGUCAUAGGUGCAUUAUCAGGAGCUGAAUCAGAAGCUUGGUAGCUUAGGGUCAAACCUGUGUUAUGGUAGAGGAUGCUGGGAUCCCAAGCAGUGGCUUCACCCACUGUGCCACAAUGCUAGCCCCAGACUGCAAAGAACUGCGGUUUAUAAAUAGAUGGUACCAUAUAAUAUUCACUAUAUUUUGUUUUGGGCUUUUAGUGAUCAUAGUAAUGCACAAACAGAGGCAGCUUUUAUCAUUGACAUGCUUAUUCUCUAUUGCAGGGAUGAUGAGUUUUCAUUUUUUUAUUUCCAUUCUCUAACAUAGUGCAAAGCAUAUAGCAGAUGUCUGAGAAAUAAGUUACUGAACUCAUUAUUCCUCAUAAAUAUUUUUCUUAAGACUGUAACUUGUGCAUUAUGAAAUUAUAACUCAGGUUGUUAUGGCUUUUAGAGAACAUAUGAAUUUUACAUAGCUAACUAUGUUUUUGUAUUUUCCUUCCCACCAGUUACUAAAAACCAACUUUAUUGUUGUCCACCCUAACUUCAUGGUUCCUACUGAUAGGAUACAUGAUCAUAUUUUAAACAUACUCCUAUUUAUUUAGGGUGAAUACAUUUUACUUAUAUAGCAUACAUGGAAAUUCUCCAAUAAGAAAUCUUUGACCUAGAUUAUCUAGCCAGUUGUUGUGGGAAAAAACAGGUCUUUCUUGGUUUUAGUCCCAGCUCUAGCAGUUUUAGCUUUAAGGACAAAACUUACCUUCUCUGAAACAGUUUCCUCAUCUGCUAAAUGAACUUAAUGAACUUAAAUAUCCUUUUUUCUUAAGAUGUAUGUAUUUGAAAGUCAGAGUUACACAAAGAGAGAAAGAGAGACAGAAAGAGAGAGAGAGAGAGAGAGAGAGAGAGGUCUUCCAUCUGCUGGUUCACUCCCCAAUGGGCCACAAUGGCUGGAGCUGUGCCAAUCUGAAGCCAGGAGCCAGGAUUUCUUCUGGGUCUCCCAUGUGGGUGUAGGGGCCCAAGGACUUGGGCCAUCUUCUGCUUUCCCGGGUCACAGCAGAGAGCUGUAUCAGAAGUGGAGCAGCCAGGACUUGAACUGGCGCCCAUAUGGGAUGCCGGCACUGCAGGCGGUGGCUUUACCCGCUAUGAAACAGCAUCAACCCCUAAAUAUCUUAAAUUUUCAGAGUUGCUUUAGAAAUCAUUGACUGAUUCAAUAAGCAAGUUUUAUGGAUCUCAUGAUUAUUCUUGAUACUCUUGAAUCUUAAGGUAGAAAAGAAUCCCUUUCCUUAUGAAAUUUAUAGCCCAUAAAGAUUAAGGCACAUAUUAAAAUAAUAAUGAUAUUGGUAGCUUUGGGAUCUGCAAGAGAGAAGGCCCACACUUCCAGGAAUGGAGAGUCCCUACCUGCACUUCCGGGAAUGAAAAGUCCCUGUCAAGGUCUCUGCAGGUGCCUAAAGGUCUACAAUGAGGAUCAGAUCCGCCUCAACCUUUCACCUUCACACCCUGUAUCUACAAAAGGAGUUCUCCCAACCUCUGUUGGGACUGGUGAACCUCGCCUGGAGUGGAAUUCCAAAAACUCUUAUAAAUUAAUUGAUUCAUCUGGCUGGGAAGUUUUGUUAUGUGCCGGACACCUUGCAGAUAUACUGUAAGAAGGUGUUGGGGCCAGCGCUGUGGUUCACUUGGUUAAUCCUCUGCCUGUGGCACCAACAUCCCAUAUGGGCACCAGGUUCUAGUCGGCUGCUCCUCUUCCAGUCCAGCUCUCUGCGGUGGCCUGGGAAUGCAGUGGAGGAUGGCCCAGGUGCUUGGCCACCUGUUCCCACAUGGGAGACCAGGAAGAAGCACCUGGCUCCUGGCUUUGGAUUGGCAUAUCACCAGCUGUUAUGGCCAUUUGGGGAGUGAACCAGUGGA